UACGUAGGGGGCAAGCGUUGUCCGGAUUUAUUGGGCGUAAAGAGCGUGUAGGCGGCCAUGUAGGUCCGUUGUGAAAACUCGAGGCUCAACCUCGAGACGCCGAUGGAAACCAUGUGGCUAGAGUCCGGAAGAGGAGAGUGGAAUUCCCGGUGUAGUGGUGAUAUGCGUAGAUAUCGGGAGGAACACCAGUGGCGAAGGCGGCUCUCUGGGCCGUAACUGACGCUGAGGAGCGAAAGCAUGGGGAGCGAACAGG
rnacentral:rRNA from 1 species